rnacentral:rRNA from 1 species
GAUGAACGCUGGCGGCGUGCCUAAUACAUGCAAGUCGAGCGAACAGAUAAGGAGCUUGCUCCUUUGACGUUAGCGGCGGACGGGUGAGUAACACGUGGGUAACCUACCUAUAAGACUGGAAUAACUCCGGGAAACCGGGGCUAAUGCCGGAUAACAUAUAGAACCGCAUGGUUCUAUAGUGAAAGAUGGUUCUGCUAUCACUUAUAGAUGGACCCGCGCCGUAUUAGCUAGUUGGUAAGGUAAUGGCUUACCAAGGCGACGAUACGUAGCCGACCUGAGAGGGUGAUCGGCCACACUGGAACUGAGACACGGUCCAGACUCCUACGGGAGGCAGCAGUAGGGAAUCUUCCGCAAUGGGCGAAAGCCUGACGGAGCAACGCCGCGUGAGUGAUGAAGGGUUUCGGCUCGUAAAACUCUGUUAUUAGGGAAGAACAUAUGUGUAAGUAACUGUGCACAUCUUGACGGUACCUAAUCAGAAAGCCACGGCUAACUACGUGCCAGCAGCCGCCGUAACAC